UCAUGUUUUCAUGGUGUCUCUCCAGAGCACAAUUCGUCAGUGGCCUACUUUGAAGUCAUCCCACGAUUUCCACAUGGUUUGCAGAACUUUGAGAAUCUGGCUGAGAUUUAGGUUUGGCUCUCUGGAUCCUCCUGUCUGUAGCAUUCAUUAAGAAACCUUAGCAGAGUUUGGCUUUUGCAUCUCUUGGGCACGAAGGAUCUUGCUUUGAUGGGUGAAUUUAGUACUUCCUAUUUGAGAAUUAUAUGGCUAGUAAAUAUUUAAAGCUGGUAAUAGUUACGUGGGAGCAAACUUAUCUGUACAUGUAAAUUGCUUCUUAUCCAUUAAACAAAGGUUCGGCUGAAUGUGCUUUAAUGUUUGCCUUCAAAUUGCUGAAAGGUCAGGCAUAAUAAAUGCUGGGAGACAAAGCAGUGUAAAGGUAUCGCAUCUCAUAUGUGCCAUAAUGUAUUUGCACAUUCUGCAUUUUAAGUAUUGUAAGAAACCUCCACAUCUCUUCUUCUCCAGUAUCUACGUAAACACCCACUCAUGCACAAAAAUAUGUAGGUUUGAAC